rnacentral:rRNA from 1 species
GAGUUUGAUCUUGGCUCAGAUUGAACGCUGGCGGCAUGCCUUACACAUGCAAGUCGAACGGCAGCACGGGAGCUUGCUCCUGGUGGCGAGUGGCGAACGGGUGAGUAAUGCAUCGGAACGUAUCCUGGAGUGGGGGAUAACGUAGCGAAAGUUACGCUAAUACCGCAUAUUCUGUGAGCAGGAAAGCGGGGGACCUUCGGGCCUCGCGCUCAUGGAGCGGCCGAUGUCGGAUUAGCUAGUUGGUGAGGUAAAGGCUCACCAAGGCGACGAUCCGUAGCAGGUCUGAGAGGAUGAUCUGCCACACUGGAACUGAGACACGGUCCAGACUCCUACGGAGGCAGCAGUGGGGAAUUUUGGACAAUGGGGGGCAAACCCCUGGUAC